CCACGCUGCCAAGAAAAGCGUCUAGAGAGAGAAGUAGUGCCCGUACCGCAAACCGACACAGGUAGGUGAGGAGAGAAUCCUAAGGCCGGCGGAAGAAUUACAGUUAAGGAACUCGGCAAAUUGACCCCGUAAGUUCGCGAGAAGGGGUGCCUACGAGAGUAGGCCGCAGAGAAUAGGCCCAAGCAACUGUUUAGCAAAAACACAGGUCUCUGCUAAAGCGUAAGCUGAUGUAUAGGGGCUGACGCCUGCCCGGUGCUGGAAGGUUAAGGGGAACACUUAGCGCAAGCGAAGGUGUGAACUUAAGCCCCAGUAAACGGCGGCCGUAACUAUAACGGUCCUAAGGUAGCGAAAUUCCUUGUCAGGUAAGUUCUGACCCGCACGAAUGGCGUAAUGACUUGGGCACUGUCUCAACUGUAAAUCCGGCGAAGUUGUAGUGCGAGUGAAGAUGCUCGCUACCCGCGAUUGGACGGAAAGACCCCGUAGAGCUUUACUGUAGCUUAGCAUUGAGUUUUGGUAUUGUCUGUACAGGAU
rnacentral:rRNA from 1 species